AUUGAACGCUGGCGGCGUGCUUAACACAUGCAAGUCGAACGGAGUGGCGAACGGGUGAGUAACACGUGGGUGACCUCCCCUUCACUUCGGGAAAAGCCUGGGAAAUUGGGUUUAAUACUGGAUAGUGUGGGAUGGGCGCGCGGCCUAUCAGCUUGUUGGUGGGGUAAUGGCCUACCAAGGCGGCGACGGGUAGCCGGCCUGAGAGGGUGGACGGCCACAAUGGGACUGAGAAGCGGCCCAAACUGCUACGGGAGGCAGCAGUGGGGAAUAUUGCACAAUGGGAGGAAGCCUGAUGCAGCAACGCCGCGUGGGGGAUGACGGCCUUCGGGUUGUAAUCUCCUUUCACCAUCGACGCGGUAGAUGGAGGAGAAGCACCGGCUAACUACGUGCCAGCAGCCGCGGUAAUAC
rnacentral:rRNA from 1 species